UACAGAGGUCUCAAGCGUUGUUCGGAUUCAUUGGGCGUAAAGGGUGCGUAGGCGGCGCGGUAAGUCGGGUGUGAAAUCUUGGAGCUUAACUCCGAAACUGCAUUCGAUACUGCCGUGCUUGAGGACUGGAGAGGAGACUGGAAUUUACGGCGUAGCGGUGAAAUGCGUAGAUAUCGUAAGGAAGACCAGUGGCGAAGGCGGGUCUCUGGACAGUUCCUGACGCUGAGGCACGAAGGCCAGGGGAGCAAACGGGAUUA
rnacentral:rRNA from 1 species